AAGUCGUAACAAGGUUUCCGUAGGUGAACCUGCGGAAGGAUCAUUAUUGAAAUAAUCCUGAUAAGUUGUUGCUGGUUCCCAUAAAGAACAUGUGCACACUUGUCAUCUUUAUAUCUCCACCUGUGCACUUUCUGUAGACUUGGAUAACUUUCUUAAUACCUAGUAUUAAGGUUUGAGAAUUGACUUUUGUCUAUUCUUACAUGUCCAGGUUCUAUGUUUAUUCAUAUACCCUAAUGUAUGUUAUAGAAUGUAAUUGUUAGGCCUUUGUGCCUAUAACAUUAUACAACUUUCAGCAACGGAUCUCUUGGCUCUC
rnacentral:misc_RNA from 1 species